rnacentral:rRNA from 1 species
AAAAUGACUCUCGGCAACGGAUAUCUCGGCUCUCGCAUCGAUGAAGAACGUAGCAAACUGCGAUACUUGGUGUGAAUUGCAGAAUCCCGUGAACCAUCGAGUCUUUGAACGCAAGUUGCGCCUGAAGCCACUAGGUCGAGGGCACGUCUGCCUGGGCGUCACGC